CUACCCCUGACCUAGAUACUGGCGUGUGUCCUCAAUUAAGCUGUGUUUUUUGCGGUUAACCGCACUCUAAGUAUCUAUUUCAAGGUGGUCGCCAUUUGUAUGUCGAACACGAGGCGGCAGCCAUCUUUGUGUUGACGAAUGCUCAGCGGGACCUAGGGCCAAAACUCCUGGAACUAUAAUCGGCUAUUGAUUUAUACGAAUCCCGCUGAGGUGCCGGUUAUUCAUGUGCCUGGGGAUAAUUAGGUUAGUGUAACUGUUGGGACCAAUUAUCUCCAGGGAAUGAUGCACUUUAUCCUUAUUGGUUGGGACAUUGCAUUGUCCAGUGUACCAUCAGGUCCACAGGGGCUGUCCUCUGGCCUGAUAACUUGUAUAAAUUGCCAUGCAUGAGUGCCAUUAAAUCAGUUCGUUUUACCCUCAACUCGCAGCCUUGACUCAUGUUGUAGGGAAAGGUGUAUCCUAGCUGUGCUGUAGCUAGUGGGAUGUUCUACAUUUCCAGGAAUUAAUACUGUAUGCUGAUUGGAGCGGAUCUCCCUCUCUCCAAGUUCGGGAACCAGGAUAACUUCCAG